rnacentral:rRNA from 1 species
GUGAGGAAUAUUGCGCAAUGGACGAAAGUCUGACGCAGCAACGCCGCGUGCGGGAUGAAGGCCCUUUGGGUCGUAAACCGCUGUAGCAGGGGAAAAAUAUCCGUCUCGGACGGAUUGAUGGUACCCUGAAAGUAAGCCUCGGCUAACUACGUGCCAGCAGCCGCGGUAAUACGUAGGAGGCAAGCGUUGUCCGGAUUUACUGGGUGUAAAGGGUCCGCAGGCGGGCUUUUUAGUCGGGGGUGAAAUCCUACAGCUUAACUGUAGAACUGCCUCCGAUACUGGAAGUCUUGAAUAUGGUAGAGGGCAACGGAAUUCCAGGUGUAGCGGUGAAAUGCUUAGAUAUCUGGAAGAACACCGGUUGCGAAGGCUGUUGCCUGGGCCAUUAUUGACGCUCAUGGACGAAAGCGUGGGGAUCAAACAGGAUUAGAAACCCCAGUAGUCC